AAUAGAAAAUCAGAUAAUGACAUUGUAAUGGAAUGCAGUCCAGCUUAUGCUACAACUGAAUUUAAAACAAAUACUGCUGAUGAUAUACUAAUGAAGGAUAGUCCAGCAUACAGUACAGUGCAACAAACACAAUCAACUGUUGAGCCAGUGUAUGAUACAACUAAUAAUGAAUAUGAGACUCCUCUUCCACCACCUGCUGAAUAUGAAAUACCAACUGUUUAAUAAUGUACUCAUUUUUUAUGUACAUACAUUACUAUAUAAAGCAAUCAACAUAAUGUAUUUGAUGUACAUGCAAGUGUGUGUUGACAGUGGUUAGUAUAAGAUGUGUAUGUUCUAAAAUUAGAAAUGUUUA